ACAGAAUAUAGAUAAAAAUGUACUUGCUAUCGAAGACAACGCAUCUAUCUGUCUUGGAAAAUAUCCAUCCUUCAUCAUUCCCUUAUGCACGGAAUUAAUUGAUUUGACUUUGGAUCUUGAGCAUAGGGGAAGCCAAACACCACAGCUGUAUGGUUCUCAUGCCCCAUCAUAAUCUGGUGGACGUGGGGAAUGGUUUUCUGCUACUAAAUCAGAUUGUUCUAUGUCCUCUUAUUCAACACUGAUAAUGAGUUAAAGAGGGAAGAAAGAAGAAAGUGAUAUGGAAACGGAUUCUCCAUUUCUUGGUUCAAGCUGAGAUUCUGGUGCUGCAGAUGAGUUAAACAGGGUUUACAAGAAUUUGGCACCAACUUUGGACAGUUCACUACAUCGAUACAAGGAACGCAAGGUUUCUAGGAUGCAUCUUGAGGUGGUGAAGGAGCUUGAGGCUGCUAUGACAUCUUCACCAAAGAUUGAUAUGAUGGUGUAGAAGACUAGCAUGUCUCCAGGAAUGCAGCAAUAAUCCAGCUAUCAAUCUCAUGGUCAAGUAUUGCUUGUAGAAGCGUGGAUACUAUCUAACAUCAUGGUGGCCAUGGUCCAUACCUGAAUUAUUGUUGUGAGCACCUACAACUACUCAACACCUGUUGCAUAAAACAAUAUUUUAUGGUCAUGAUCUAGUAUGGUCUCUUCCAAUUUAAGAUUCCAUGUUCCCUUGGUUGAUGUUAGAUCAACCAUGGACUAGUGCAUUGUGAGACUGUGAGAAUC